UAUUCUAUCAAGUUAACUACUUUUUUUAUAACAAAUUAUAAAAAAAAAAAAAAUUAAAAAAUCAAAAAAAAAGUAAGGAAUAGUGUAUCCAAUUCGAUGUACAAGCUAUAUAAAAAUGUACGAGAAUGUUGUUUAUCCGUAUAAUCCAUUUCUACAUGAACCGGUACGGUUCUCUCGGAUCUGCGAUCACCCGGACAACACAGCCAGGAUCUAGAUCUAGCCAAUCCUGUUGGCUCCUCCUCUUCGUCAUCUUCGUCAAUGUCUUCGUCCUCGGUUGUGGCACAAUGGACGUAAACGAGAUCGUUUCUAAGUUCAUCCUCGACGAUAUCUUUUGCCGCGUUCGAUGGAAUGUGACUCGACAACGUUUGUAUCCCGCAUCUCGAUGUUCUUUGAAGAUAUUGUUGCAGUUGAUAUUGUUGUUGUUGCUGCUGUUGAUGUUGUUGUUGACGACGCAAACGAUCGACGAAGUACGUUGACUCCGUAGAGUCAUUGUUAAUAGCCACCGUAAAAUUCGCCACCUUGUUGGAUUCGUCGUUACUCUUCCCGUCGUUGUUUUUCGACGAGUUGCAUUCUUGAUUUUCGAGGAGAAGAGGGAGAACAAGAGGUCGUACGGUCAACUCGAUCAAUCGGAUAAGAUCGAGUGAUCUUGUUAUUUACUUACGUACCUAUAUCGCGUUUUUCCGUGCUGUGAUCUAUACUAUGAAUUCUAUCGAGCUUUAGAUCAUUUCAUUCCUUGAAAGAUUUUCGUGCUAGCAUGUGUGGUAUGGUAUGUGUGUGUGUGUGUGUGUGUGUGUGUAUGCACGUGUAUAGGUUUCAAGCGAAUCCUUCGAGCAUGACACUUUGCUUCUUUAGUUCAUAUUUUUCAUUCUUUUAUUUUCUUAAAAGAAUAUUACAAAAAUAUUGAUACUUUUAAACUUUAAUUUUUCUGAUUAUCACGAACAAAAAUUGUCGAUUGAAAGGUAUCUUCUGUAAAAGAAAAAUGAUAGAUGCACCGUGUCAUCGUGUCAGAAAUCGAAUAAUAGUGACAAAGAAUCGGUUGCUCUCUCUCUUUUGUUUUUCUUUUCUAGGUUUCAGUAAGUAUCAGAAGAGCAUUGUCCCGGAUCACCAAGCUAUCGAUCGUAAGGGAGUCUUUCACGCGUCGUCGUUAGGAUGCGCUCUGGUCUAUCACGUUAACCACCCAACCCUUAUAUCCUUCCUCCAUAUUCUUUUUUUUUUUUUUUUUUUUUAAGAUAAAGAACUCCCUUCGGAGAUCUUUUUCAUUUUUUAUUAAAACAUUUCAACUUGAUUUUUCCGAUAAACUCGAUUAACACGAUUAUACGCGAUUUUAUUUGAGAUUAAAAUUCGGUGUCACAUAUUACUCUGAUUGAAAUAAUUUAUGCAAAUAUCAGAAGGAGAAGUAUCAGAUUAAAAAAUAAAUAAAUAAAAAAAGGAGAGAGAGAGAGAGAGAGAGAGAGAGAGAGAGAAAGAGAGAAAUGUGGAACCAGUGAGAAAGCUUGAAAAUAGAUCCGUCGGAUACGUUUGUCUUUCCUACUUACCCUCCCCAUUAAUAUUUCAAAGGUUGAUAUCGAUCACCUUUUUGCGGAUUCACGAGACGCCCUCUUUUCAACGACUCGAGUAAAAGCGUUUUAGUUUCUUCUUUUUUCUUCUUUUUCUUUAAAUCAUACAUUAAAACUUUCAAGAGAGUUUAUCGAUAAUAUUUUUUUUAUUUCGACGUAACCAAUUAAUACAUCGAGAUAUCUAUCAUUAGUCCGAUCGAUCGUUAUCUUAACACCGUCCGAUACAUAUUAGAAUUUAAUGAACAAAUCAACGUUAAUUAUUCGUAAUGUUAAUUAUAAAAUCGAUAAAUUAAAAUUUCGUUGUAUUCGUACGUAUUUUUCCCGAUUACGCGACGUAAUAUUAAUCUGUUAAAUUGCAUUUGACUCUUUCUACUUGUUAUAAAGAAAUGACAAUUGUUUAUGUUAUGAUCGGGUACAUGCACAAUUUUUUAAUCUUUACCACAAUGUAUUAUAGAUACACAUU